GACGAACGCUGGCGGCGUGCUUAACACAUGCAAGUCGAACGAUGAACCCGGAGCUUGCUCCGGCGGAUUAGUGGCGAACGGGUGAGUAACACGUGAGUAACCUGCCCUUGACUCUGGGAUAACUGCGGGAAACUGUAGCUAAUACCGGAUACGACCCUCGGCGGCAUCGCCAGGGGGUGGAAAGAAUUUCGGUCAAGGAUGGACUCGCGGCCUAUCAGCUAGUUGGUGAGGUAACGGCUCACCAAGGCGACGACGGGUAGACGGCCUGAGAGGGUGACCGGCCACACUGGGACUGAGACACGGCCCAGACUCCUACGGGAGGCAGCAGUGGGGAAUAUUGCACAAUGGGCGCAAGCCUGAUGCAGCGACGCCGCGUGAGGGAUGACGGCCUUCGGGUUGUAAACCUCUCUCAGCACCGACGAAGCGCAAGUGACGGUAGGUGCAGAAGAAGGACCGGCCAACUACGUGCCAGCCGCCGCAGUAA
rnacentral:rRNA from 1 species